rnacentral:tRNA from 1 species
AUUACUUUGGCAGAUUAGUGCGGUAAAUUUAGAAUUUAUUUAUGUAAUUUAUGUUACAGGUGAUA